UACAGAGGGUGCAAGCGUUAAUCGGAAUUACUGGGCGUAAAGGGCGCGUAGGCGGUUAAUUAAGUUGGAUGUGAAAUCCCUGGGCUCAACCUAGGAACUGCAUCCGAUACUGGUUAGCUAGAGUGCGGUAGAGGGUAGUGGAAUUUCCGGUGUAGCGGUGAAAUGCGUAGAUAUCGGAAGGAACACCAGUGGCGAAGGCGGCUACCUGGACUGACACUGACGCUGAGGCGCGAGAGCGUGGGGAGCAAACAGG
rnacentral:rRNA from 1 species